rnacentral:rRNA from 1 species
AUGACCGUGAGGGUGCGGACGCGCGUAGGGACCCUGCGGCCGACGGGCAGGAGGCUCGUCCUUUGGCGCAGCGCCGUCGUCUUCUCCGACGCAGAUGAAGCUGGCUACAUUGAAGUGAUCUACCACGGACAGUUCCCUCGAACUGUGCGCGUUGCCGUGGACGACGUCAAGAACAUGCCGACCGUCGCCGAGAGCUAG